UUCUAAUAGAAAUAAUUAUUAGUAUAAUCUGCUCAAUGAAUCUAAUUAAAUAGCCGCAAUUCUAUUGUGCUAAGGUAGCAUAAUCAUUUGUCUUUUAAUUAAAGACUAGAACGAACGAUUUAACGUUUCAAUAACUAUAAUUAUAUAUAAAUUUUAAAUUUAUCUUAAAUAUAAAAAGAUAUUUAUAAAUAAAAAAGACGACAAGACCCUAUUGAACUUAACUAAAGUUAAACUGGGGCAGUUAAUUAAUUAAUAUUUUAAUUUAAAAUUUAAAACAAAUGACCUGAACAAUUCAACCUCAUGAAAAGUUACCAUAGGGAUAACAGCGUAAUAAUUUUCCAAAGAUCUUAUAUAAAAAAUUGUUUACGACCUCGAUGUUGAAUAAUAUCCUAUAAUACGAAAAAAUAUUAAAAAGGAAGUCUGUUCGACUUUUAACCAAUUACA
rnacentral:rRNA from 1 species